AAGGUCUGUCAAUAACUGGUGAUACAAUAAUAAUCAAAACAGAGAGCCUGUGCCCUUGCCUGGUGGGGAGACAGACAGGAAACUAAGCAUCACACAGAUAUAUAUAGACAUAGAACCUAGGAUAAGGAUUGGGAAGGAAUGAUGUAACAAUGGAGAGGGUCCCUCAAUUAGGCUGAGGGGUCAGGGAGAACCUCUUAGAAUCAUUAAGCUGAGGAUAAUUAGGACUCAGACCAAAAAGUGUGGGAAGAGGGGAUCAGACACUGACAGCAACAGGUGUGAAGGCAAGUGUUCAAGGGAAGAGAGUGAAGAAGUAGUCUUGGAGUUACAAAUCUUUGCCUCGCAAUGAUGGAAAUGAUGGCCCAAGAAUUCUAAGACUCAAAAUCUGAAGACCCAGGUUCAAGUCUGGCCCUGGGACUCUCUAAAUGUGCCCUUUACCUUGGACAUGUCACUCUGAGCCUAAGCUCAUCAACUGGUCAACCUCUUGGAAUGCACCUUGGGAGCGACAGCAUAGAUGAAAGGGAAGUUUCCAUGAGAUUCUAUCUUUGUAUGCUGUGUAACUGAUAUUCCAUGUUACAUGGAGAUUCCUGAGGCUGGCUGGCUCCAGACCGAGUCUUCACGGCUCCCAGGAUGGUGUAACCAGAGCCCAGCUGGGCGAGGGAGAACCACCCUGAGAAACCGCUGCCCAGAUCUGUGACAUCUCCUAGGUGAAAACCACAAUCUAGAAAAUUUCAAAAGUACAGAGAAGCCUGAGGAAGGAAAA